CUCCGAUUGCCUAAGUGGUUAGAGCGUCUGCCUCGGAUGCAGGAGGUCGCGGAUUUGAACCCCCGCCGAGUCAUACCAGAGA